GAUGAGCGCUGGCGGCGUGCCUAAUACAUGCAAGUCGAACGCACAGCGAAAGGUGCUUGCACCUUUCAAGUGAGUGGCGAACGGGUGAGUAACACGUGGACAACCUGCCUCAAGGCUGGGCAUAACAUUUGGAAACAGAUGCUAAUACCGAAUAAAACUCAGUGUCGCAUGACACAAAGUUAAAAGGCGCUUUGGCGUCACCCAGAGAUGGAUCCGCGGUGCAUUAGUUAGUUGGUGGGGUAAAGGCCUACCAAGACAAUGAUGCAUAGCCGAGUUGAGAGACUGAUCGGCCACAUUGGGACUGAGACACGGCCCAAACUCCUACGGGAGGCUGCAGUAGGGAAUCUUCCACAAUGGGCGAAAGCCUGAUGGAGCAACGCCGCGUGUGUGAUGAAGGCUUUCGGGUCGUAAAGCACUGUUGUAUGGGAAGAACAGCUAGAAUAGGGAAUGAUUUUAGUUUGACGGUACCAUACCAGAAAGGGACGGCUAAAUACGUGCCAGCAGCCGCCGUAA
rnacentral:rRNA from 1 species